UACAGAGGUCCCGAGCGUUGUUCGGAUUCAUUGGGCGUAAAGGGUGCGUAGGCGGCGGGGAAAGUCUGAUGUGAAAUCCUGGGGCUCAACCCUGGAACUGCAUUGGAUACUUCCUUGCUAGAGUACUGGAGAGGAACUGGAAUUUACGGUGUAGCAGUGAAAUGCGUAGAGAUCGUAAGGAAGACCAGUGGCGAAGGCGAGUUUCUGGACAGUUACUGACGGCUGAGGCACGAAGGCCAGGGGAGCAAACGGG
rnacentral:rRNA from 1 species